GAGGAAAGAGGGAGGCGUGCCUAAUACAUGCAAGUCGAGCGAACGGACGAGAAGCUUUCUUCUCUGAUGUUAGCGGCGGACGGGUAAGUAACACGUGGAUAACCUACCUAUAAGACUGGGAUAACUUCGGGAAACCGGAGCUAAUACCGGAUAAUAUUUUGAACCGCAUGGUUCAAAAGUGAAAGACGGUCUUGCUGUCACUUAUAGAUGGAUCCGCGCUGCAUUAGCUAGUUGGUAAGGUAACGGCUUACCAAGGCAACGAUGCAUAGCCGACCUGAGAGGGUGAUCGGCCACACUGGAACUGAGACACGGUCCAGACUCCUACGGGAGGCAGCAGUAGGGAAUCUUCCGCAAUGGGCGAAAGCCUGACGGAGCAACGCCGCGUGAGUGAUGAAGGUCUUCGGAUCGUAAAACUCUGUUAUUAGGGAAGAACAUAUGUGUAAGUAACUGUGCACAUCUUGACGGUACCUAAUCAGAAAGCCACGGCUAACUACGUG
rnacentral:rRNA from 1 species